CUGUGUUUACUGUGCAUCUUCCUAGUUGUUCCAGGUGUUUUUGGGUUCCUGUUUCUGCUCAUCAGCUCAUCCAUCAAUCUGCGUGUAAACCAGUUUUAUUCACUGAUUCACUGAUAUUCCUUCAUUGCCCCCUACCCGCCUUCGUGUUGUGUGCACUUGGGUCCUGAAAUUUUUGAACCGUAACAGUAAACUGCCUCCAUGAGCUGUGUGUCACAGGUACUGCUGCAGCUCCAACUGCUGAUCAUGUUGUCCUAACAGGUGGUCCACUAUCUCCCUGCCCUGAUGACAAAAUAAGAUCUUACGACACAAUGAGACUAAAGGGGUUCUGAAGCUCCUUGCACUGUUGGAGAGGAACCAGAUGCAGAAAUGUUACUGACGGUUGAGCACCACUCCCAUCUUGGGCUGGUAGUCAUUGUCAGUGAGCUGCCAGAGGGCGAAGGGCUCCCUGGGUGUAUCCUGCAACAUGCGGAAGGCAACGCUAAUGGUGUGCUCUGGAGAGAAACCUGCAGGGUGGAUAAACCUGGAGGGGGAGAGGGAAAGACUGAUCAAUUUACAUCAAGGACAUCUGAGAUGCUGUGCAUCCUGAGCAACUGCCAUUUCCUCAAAAUGAUGCUGGAAUGAGCGACGAUGCUACAUUUGGUAAACACAGUUCCCCCAUCUUCACGUCUCUUCUUCACAUCUCUCACUUGCAGCUCCUCUUGGGAGGAGCUAAGAUGCAGACUUGCCAGUCUUCCUCAAAUGGAUUUUUGGUAUAUAAUAUUGACUCUCUAGCAGAUUAGGAUUCGUUGGCUCCAGCCACAUUUUGAGGUUGUCAUGUAACUAAGAGGAAUUGUUUAUUCAACUUUUUACUGUGCAGAUAGCAUAUAGCAUACUUCUUAGCACAGCUGGAUACAGCUGAGCAAAUAGCAGAGAGAAGGUAUUGAAGUCUUUAAUGAAGGUUACUUAAUGUGGGGUUGCAUUUAAGGAAAUUAGUGUAUAGACAAAAGAUAAAACAGUGGAGGGUGAAUUAAAAUCAGUAAAGGAGACUGUCUCACUUGGUGCUCUGUGUCAGCUGGACGUCU